AACGAACGCUGGCGGCAUGCCUAACACAUGCAAGUCGAACGAGACCUUCGGGUCUAGUGGCGCACGGGUGCGUAACGCGUGGGAAUCUGCCCUUAGGUACGGAAUAACUCAGGGAAACUUGAGCUAAUACCGUAUAAUGACUUCGGUCCAAAGAUUUAUCGCCUAAGGAUGAGCCCGCGUCGGAUUAGCUAGUUGGUGAGGUAAAAGCUCACCAAGGCGACGAUCCGUAGCUGGCUGAGAGGAUGAUCAGCCACACUGGGACUGAGACACGGUCCAGACACCUACGGGUGGCAGCAGUCGAGAAUUUUUGACAAUGGGGGAAACCCGUGAUCGAGCGACGCCGCGUGGAGGAUGAAGGUCUUCGGUUGUAAACUCCUAUCAUUUGAGAACAAGGUGCACC
rnacentral:rRNA from 1 species